rnacentral:rRNA from 1 species
UCGGGUUAACCGGUUCGGAUCGAUUUACUCAAUUUGCGACCCCGAACAACGGCGCUCNUAGGCGACACACAUCCUAUACUGCAUACGUUUCAACGUGGCAUUACGAGGGUUAUCUAUCCUGUUUGCUCCCCACGCUUUCGCACCUGAAGCGUCAGUCUUUGUCCAGGGGGCCGCCUUCGCCACCGGUAUUCCUCCAGAUCUCUACGCAUUUCACCGCUACACCUGGAAUUCUACCCCCCUCUACAAGACUCUAGCUUGCCAGUUUCAAAUGCAGUUCCCACGUUAAGCGCGGGGAUUUCACAUCUGACUUAACAAACCGCCUGCGUGCGCUUUACGCCCAGUAAUUCCGAUUAUUCUUUCUUGCACCCUCCGUAUUACCGCGGCUGCUGGCACGGAGUUAGCCGGUGCUUCUUCUGCGAGUAACGUCAAUGCACAGUGCUAUUAACACUAGAACCCUUCCUCCUCGCUGAAAGUGCUUUACAACCCUAAGGCCUUCUUCACACACGCGGCAUGGCUGCAUCAGGCUUGCGCCCAUUGUGCAAUAUUCCCCCACUGCUGCCUCCCGUAGGAGUCUGGACCGUGUCUCAGUCCCAGUGUGGCUGGUCAUCCUCUCAGACCAACUAGGGAUCGUCGCCUAGGUGAGCCAUUACCCCACCUACUANCUAAUCCCAUCUGGGCACAUCUGAUGGCUUNAGGCCCAAAGGUCCCCCCUUUGGGUCCNUAAACCUAAUUCCGGUAUANCACCCCUUUCCCNUUAUUUUCCCCCCUCNUCAGGCCGUUUCCCAAACUUACUCCCCCUCCCCCUUCUUACCCAAAACCAACCUCUCUGUUCCCCCCAAAUUCAUUUUUNGCCUCCCCCGUUAAUUACCCGGAU